CAGCCGCCGCGGGAAUACAGAGGGUGCGAGCGUUAAUCGGAUUUACUGGGCGUAAAGCGUGCGUAGGCGGCUAAUUGAGUCGGAUGUGAAAUCCCCGAGCUUAACUUGGGAAUUGCAUUCGAUACUGGUUAGCUAGAGUGUGGGAGAGGAUGGUAGAAUUCCAGGUGUAGCGGUGAAAUGCGUAGAGAUCUGGAGGAAUACCGAUGGCGAAGGCAGCCAUCUGGCCUAACACUGACGCUGAGGUACGAAAGCAUGGGGAGCAAACAGGAUUAGAUACCCGUGUAGUCCCUGUCUCUUAUAA
rnacentral:rRNA from 1 species